rnacentral:rRNA from 1 species
GACGAACGCUGGCGGCGUGCUUAACACAUGCAAGUCGAACGGAAAGGCCCUGCUUUUGUGGGGUGCUCGAGUGGCGAACGGGUGAGUAACACGUGAGUAACCUGCCCUUGACUUUGGGAUAACUUCAGGAAACUGGGGCUAAUACCGGAUAGGAGCUCCUGCUGCAUGGUGGGGGUUGGAAAGUUUCGGCGGUUGGGGAUGGACUCGAGGCUUAUCAGCUUGUUGGUGGGGUAGUGGCUUACCAAGGCUUUGACGGGUAGCCGGCCUGAGAGGGUGACCGGCCACAUUGGGACUGAGAUACGGCCCAGACUCCUACGUGGGGCAGUAGUGGGGAAUAUUGCACAAUGGGCGGAAGCCUGAUACAGCAACGCCGCGUGCGGGAUGACGGCCUUCGGGUUGUAAACCGCUUUCGCCUGUGACGAAGCGUGAGUGACGGUAAUGGGUAAAGAAGCACCGGCUAACUACGUG